rnacentral:lncRNA from 1 species
CAAACAUCAAAGCAAUUUCUAACAAAAAUAAAGUAGUCUCUGAUAUCAUUGUAGGGAGUCUACUUAAACAUUAGCGAAAAUUAAAACAGAUUUCAAUUCCCACCAAGAAUCCCUCUUUGUUUAAAUAAAAAUUGUACAUUUUACAAGAUUUGCAAACUCCUUUGUCAUUCUUUCUUUCCAACGAUCUUGAUUCACCAUCCACGGCUAUCCAGUUGUCCAGCCACCAACUACGAUCUACACAAAAAACAAAAUUGUAGGAUUAUGAUUUUCUUCUCAUGCUAGCAAUAAUAAUAAAUCUCCACCAAAUUGUAAACCCUAAUAACUUAUUU